CCUACGGGAGGCUGCAGUGAGGAAUAUUGGUCAAUGGCCGAAAGUCUGAACCAGCCAAGUCGCGUGCGGGAAGACGGCCCUACGGGUUGUAAACCGCUUUUGUCGGAGGGCAAAGCGCGUCACGUGUACCUCCUUGAAAGUACCCUACGAAUAAGCAUCGGCUAACUCCGUGCCAGCAGCCGCGGUAAUACGGAGGAUUCAAGCGUUAUCCGGAUUUAUUGGGUUUAAAGGGUGCGCAGGCGGAGGUGCAAGUCAGCGGUAAAAUCGCGGGGCUCAACCCCGUACUGCCGUUGAAACUGCUGGGCUGGAGUGCGCGAGAGGUAGGCGGAAUGUGUGGUGUAGCGGUGAAAUGCAUAGAGAUCAUGCAGAACUCCGAUUGCGAAGGCAGCAUACCGGAGUGCAACUGACGUUCAUGCACGAAAGCGUGGGUAGCGAACAGGAUUAGAUACCCGAGUAGUC
rnacentral:rRNA from 1 species